AGUGAACGCUGGCGGUAGGCCUAAUACAUGCAAGUCGAACGGCAGCACAGUAAGAGCUUGCUCUUACGGGUGGCGAGUGGCGGACGGGUGAGGAAUACAUAGGAAUCUACUUUUACUGGGGGAACAUCGGGGGAAAGUUACUAAUACAGCCUAAUAGAUCGAACGGCAUAAUUCAGUGGUUAUAGGCGCUUUUGCUGUUACAUAUAGAUGUAUCGGUGUCGCAUUAGCUAGUUGGUAAGGUAAAGGCAUACCAAGGCGACGAUCCGUAGCCGGUCUGAGAGGAUGAUCAGCCACACUGGAACUGAGACACGGUCCAGACUCCUACGGGAGGCAGCAGUGGGGAAUAUUGGACAAUGGGCGCAAGCCUGAUCCAGCCAUACCGCGUGGGUGAAGAAGGCCUUCGGGUUGUAAAGCCCUUUUGUUGGGAAAGAAAAGCAGCAGGUUAAUACCCCACUGUUCUGACGGUACCCAAAGAAUAAGCACCGGCUAACUUCGUG
rnacentral:rRNA from 1 species